rnacentral:rRNA from 1 species
UACGAGGGGGGCGAGCGUUGUUCGGAAUUAUUGGGCGUAAAGGGUGCGUAGGCGGUUCCGCAAGUCCUGUGUGAAAUCUUCGGGCUCAACUCGAAGUCUGCACGGGAAACUGUCGGGCUUGAGUAUGGGAGAGGUGAGUGGAAUUUCCGGUGUAGCGGUGAAAUGCGUAGAUAUCGGAAGGAACACCUGUGGCGAAAGCGGCUCACUGGACCAUUACUGACGCUGAGGCACGAAAGCUAGGGGAGCAAACAGG